UCGUCAGCUCGUGUCGUGAGAUGUUGGGUUAAGUCCCGCAACGAGCGCAACCCUUAUGCUUAGUAGCCAGCGGUAUGGCCGGGCACUCUAGGCAGACUGCCAGGAAUAACCUGGAGGAAGGCGGGGAUGACGUCAAAUCAUCAUGCCCCUUAUGACUUGGGCUACACACGUGCUACAAUGGCGCUGACAAAGGGAAGCAAACCCGCGAGGGGGAGCAAAUCCAGAAACAGCGUCCCAGUUCGGACUGUAGUCUGCAACCCGACUAUACGAAGCUGGAAUCGCUAGUAAUCGCAGAUCAGAAUGCUGCGGUGAAUACGUUCCCGGGUCUUGUACACACCGCCCGUCACACCAUGGGAGUCGAUAACGCCCGAAGCCGGUGACCUAACGCAAGAAGGAGCCGUCGAAGGCGGGAUUGGUAACUGGGGUGAAGUCGUAACAAGGUAGCCGUA
rnacentral:rRNA from 1 species